AGUGUAGCACAAUGGCAGUGCAACUGAUUUGUAAUCAGUAGGUUGUCGGUUCGACUCCGACCGCU
rnacentral:tRNA from 1 species